GAUGAACGCUGGCGGCGUGCCUAAUACAUGCAAGUCGAGCGAACAGAUAAGGAGCUUGCUCCGUUGACGUUAGCGGCGGACGGGUGAGUAACACGUGGGUAACCUACCUAUAAGACUGGGAUAACUUCGGGAAACCGGAGCUAAUACCGGAUAAUAUUUCGAACCGCAUGGUUCGAUAGUGAAAGAUGGUUUUGCUAUCACUUAUAGAUGGACCCGCGCCGUAUUAGCUAGUUGGUAAGGUAACGGCUUACCAAGGCGACGAUACGUAGCCGACCUGAGAGGCGGGUCGGCCACACUGGAACUGUGACCCGGUCCAGGCUCCUUCGGGACGCAGCCGUCGGAGAUCUUCCGCAACGGGCGAAAGCCUUACGGAGCACCGCCGCGUGAGUGGUUAAGGUCUUCGGAUCGUAAAACUCUGUUAUUAGGGAAAAACAUCCGUGUAAGUAACUGUGCACUUCUUGACGGUACCUAGUCAGAAAGCCACGGCUAACUACGUG
rnacentral:rRNA from 1 species